UACGGAGGGUGCAAGCGUUAUCCGGAUUUACUGGGUUUAAAGGGUGCGUAGGUGGGUCUGUAAGUCAGUGGUGAAAUCUUCGAGCUUAACUCGGAAACUGCCAUUGAUACUAUAGGUCUUGAAUCAUCUGGAGGUGAGCGGAAUAUGUCAUGUAGCGGUGAAAUGCUUAGAUAUGACAUAGAACGCCGAUUGCGAAGGCAGCUCACUACGGAUGUAUUGACACUGAGGCACGAAAGCGUGGGGAUCAAACAGG
rnacentral:rRNA from 1 species